GUGGGGAAUAUUGUACAAUGGGCGCAAGCCUGAUACAGCAAUGCCGCGUGAGUGAAGAAGGCCUUAGGGUUGUAAAACUCUUUCGCCAGGGAAGAUAAUGACGGUACCUGGUAAAGAAGUCCCGGCUAACUCCGUGCCAGCAGCCGCGGUAAUACGGAGGGGACUAGCGUUGUUCGGAAUUACUGGGCGUAAAGAGUUCGUAGGCGGACUUGCAAGUUAGGGGUGAAAUCCCAGGGCUCAACCCUGGAACUGCCUUUAAAACUGCUAGUCUAGAGACCGGAAGAGGUAGGGGGAAUACCUAGUGUAGAGGUGAAAUUCGUAGAUAUUAGGUGGAACACCAGUGGCGAAGGCGCCUUACUGGUCCGGUACUGACGCUGAGGAACGAAAGCGUGGGGAGCAAACAGG
rnacentral:rRNA from 1 species